rnacentral:rRNA from 1 species
UAUGUAGGGCGCAAGCGUUAUCCGGAAUUACUGGGCGUAAAGUGUGCGCAGGCGGCCGAGCAAGUCGAGUGUGAAAGCCCCGGGCUUAACUUGGGAAUUGCGCUCGAAACUACGUGGCUGGAGUGUGGCAGAGGAAGGUGGAAUUCCAGGUGUAGCGGUGAAAUGCGUAGAGAUCUGGAGGAACACCGAUGGCGAAGGCAGCCUUCUGGGCCAACACUGACGCUCAUGCACGAAAGCGUGGGGAGCAAACAGG